UUAUGAGAACACUAUGGAACUAUGCGAUAUCAAUUAUAACAUGUAACAAGUGGAAUAGUGGGUGGAUGUUCACCCCUCCCACAGCUUUUAAACUUCCUCGGUUCUUGCCCAUUUAACUGGUCCUACUAAAAUGAAAGCAACUGUGAAACAAAGGCAUGUAGCAUAAAGUUCUAACAGUUACCUCAGAGUUACCGCCAUCUUUGCUGCAGAUUAGGUCAGCCUAUUGCUACUUUUCAGAGUUUGUGUUUUCAAGUGUCAUUGAGUUUACACAGGUCAGGACACAGUUGGGACAUGAAGAUAAACCUCACCUACUAGAGUAGAUGUCAUUUCUGGGUAAGGCUAACUGUGGGAAACAGAGUGUGUUCGCUAAGGAAACCUUAGGUCAUAACCUCCAGCUUCCUGAAGGAAAUGCCAAAAGUGCUCAGAAGACAAAGGGCCGGGAACAAAUGCGAAUGUCUCUAUCCAUCUGUCUGCUGGGGCGGAAGGGGUGACUUCAUGUUCCACUCACUUCCUCAGGCUUUCGUUAGAGAGCCAGGCAUAAUGGAAAAGUGUGUCUAUUUUGCUUCAGUGGAUGAUAAAGCUCUGCUUUUGGACUUAUCUCCAAGCACAAGGUGACUCAUGACAUCGGAGCAUAGGGUGGCUCAUUGGUGACGGGAGGUCAAUCUUCUUGCCCACCUCUGAGUACAUCAUCCUGUGGACGUGCAUUCUUCAUAGCUCUGCCAGACAGUGGAUCUUGUUUGGAGAAAGCGGGGCAGUUGUAGAUGUGUGGAAGCCCCAGUUCUAGUCAAGACACAAAGACAAAGAUGAAGGGGUCUUUGGUUGCAUCCAUUGUGUAUAUCCGAUUUUAAUUGAGUACACUCUAAGUAGUGAGGAUGAGAAAAUCACUCAGUGACUGAACACACACACACACAAUCUCUACAUAUGUGCAUGGAGACAUAGCUCAGUUGGCAGAGAGCUUUUCUUGCAUGCAGAAAGCUGUGGGUUCCAUCCCCAGUAUCAUAAACCUGGUGUAGGUAUGGCAGCAAUCCCAGGAAGGUGAAGCAGGAAGCUUUUCAGUUAAAUAUUGAGUUUGAAGCCAUCCUAGGAUAUAUGAGACCAUGUCUGUAAAACAAAACAAAACAAAACAAAACAAACUAACAAAAACCAAGAAGAACCCCUAAAGUAGUCUUAGUCAGGAGAAGUGAGGCAUAUAAAACUACUUACAUAUUUGUAUAAAAAUCGAAUUAGUUCCAAAUAUCAGGAAAGCUACAAAAGGACAUUACAUACAUAGUAUUUGAUCCCCAACAUUAGUAGCAUCACAGAACACUCUCCAGGGCUGUCGAGAUGUCUUAGGAGGUAAAGGGGCUUGUCACAUAAACCCAAUUCUGUCCCCAGAGCCCGUUAAUAAUAGAAAUUGGACAAGGGAGUGGUGAUUCAAGCUUUUAAUACCAGCAAAUGAGAGGCUGAGGCAAGAGGAUAAAGAACUCAAGACCAGCUUUAGCAAGUGACAAAUUGGAGGCCAAACUAGGUUAUGAGACUAUCUUAAAAAACUAGAGCUGUUACUAUGACCAGUUCCUGUAAUAUUAUUGUUAGGAAUUUAGAAGCUUUAGUGCAAGUUAUGACUUCAAUCACCCAUGCUUAUUAGAUAGUAUAUUCUAUUGAGUAAUAUUGGCACUUCAUCUGUAAUUUCUAGAAUCCCUAUUUUUCUCCCCAAUGUAAAAAGUCUGCCCUAUAAAAGUAAUCAUUUUAAUCAAUUUGGAAUUAUGCCGACUUCUUCUCUGGACAUUGCCUGUGUUAAUAAACUGUCCAAAGCUGAGUGGUGGUGGCACACACCUGCAAUCUCAGCACUCUCAGAGGGCAUAGAAAAGUGGAUUUCUUUUAAGUUUCAGGCUAGCCUGGUUUCCAGAGUGAGUUCCAGGACAUCUGCAGCUACAAAGAAAAACCCUGUCUCAAAAACAAGUAAACAGUCCAAAGCCAACCAAACAAGGAACCUGCCCAACACAUAUUGUAAUACGUCUAGGACUGCACUUUCUUAGGCUUUGGACCCUUUGCACCUAUGUUCUUUAUAUCACCAAGAUUGUUCACGUCUAAGCAUUUGUUUGGAGAUGCUACUCAGAAAGGAAGACUUCCAACAAAUGAUGGGUAUUUCUAGUGAAUGCUAUAAAAUGAGGGCUUGCCCAACUCUCAGUGGUAGCAAUCCCAUGUUUAAUGGGAAAGCAGGCUAUAGGACCAGAGUGGCUCAUGUUAAGGCAUUCUAUGUACAGAAUUUCUAAAGACCUUCUUAAUAGACACUGGCUUUGCUGCUGGGCACAUCUAUAAUCCUAGUAUUCAGGAAGCCUAAACAGGAAGAUUGCUGGGAGUUCUGGUUCUCAUUUAAAACAAAACAAACAACUAAACAAACAAACAAACAAACACUCCCCCAAAGAAAACAAACCAAAACUCAUUGGUUCAAAAAUUAAUUUCUAGCUAGAAACUGUUAUAAUAAGCAUGGCAAGUAUUUGUAAUGAGCUUUUGUAGUUUGUUUGUAAUAUUAUUGUUUUUAUAUAACUAAUUAGUUACUUUUAUUUCUUUGAGACAGGAUCUUGUAUAGCCAAAGCUGGCAUCAAAUUUAUUUUGAAUUUGAGGCAUACACCAUCACACCUGGCUCUAGAAUUCUGUUUUGGGGGCAGGGUGUCGUAUAGUCCAGGCUGGCUUCAAACUGCUGGAAGAUGAGCAUGAACAUAGUAGGACUUUGCUUUGACUGAUCAAGUUCCAAGAUUACAGAUGACUCAUUCCAUUCUUCUGGUGGUGUUUUCCAAGGCCCCCUAACUAAUUUUUAUCAAACUAAAUUUGAUUGCGUUUAUUUUUAGAGUUGAGAUGUUUGCAUUAUUUUUCCCUGAAUAGUUUCUAAAGACACUGAGGGAGGAAUUAUAAAUGAAUCAAAACCAAAAGAAAGCUUCACAGAUUUGAAAUAUCCUUUUCCUGUGAACGUGGUAAGUAGUGUUGGUGGGGCUCGUGUGUGUGUGUGUGUGUGUGUGUGUGUGUGUGUGUGUGUGUGUGUGUGUGUGCGCGCGCGCGCGCACUUGAGUGCGCAUGAGUG
rnacentral:lncRNA from 1 species